CGGCCGCUAAAACCUCCGUUUCUUCGUUGGAACCGGCUCCUCUGCGGUGCGUGCGAUGCAUCGCACGCUGCGGUGCCCCUCAGAGGAUCCGCGCUCUUGUUCCUUCAACCCUCACCUUGGAUACCGGUAUUUCCGCAGAAGAGACUCCUCUGCGUCCUGGCUCUCAGCCUUCCCUCCUCUCCCAAACCCUCCCCUUCCUCCCCCUCCCUCCUCCUCCUGCGCCGCCUGCCGCCCCCUCCCUCCGAUUCUUCGUAACCGCUCCGGCAGAUCGCCGCCUCCCAUGCCGUACAACCACCGCGGGAAGUCCGCUCCGAGAGAGGGGCAAUGGAAGUAGAAGCCACGUGCCGGCCAGCUGCUCACCGGUGUCGUAGACGGCUGGUCAUCGUUGUCCUCCGCUGCCACUGCCGCUUCCGCCGUCGCAGAUGGAAUUGGCAGGCUGAGUCUCGUAGAGAACGCAGGCCGUGCCCAUCCGGCUGUUCCGAUGGAGGUUGCCGCUGCGGAGACUGAUAGGAACUCUUUGGCGGUGGAGAAGGAGAAUAGCGGUGUCGGUGGCUUGACGAAGCUGUUCAAGGGUCCACAAGGGGAGGAUUUCAAUGUGGAUAACAACACGUUCUCCAAGGCUCAGAUAAGAGCUACGUUCUAUGCGAAGUUCGAGAACGAGAAGUCUGACCAAGAGGUUGGAACACGGAUGAUAGAGAUGGUGUCUCAUGGCCAAGCAACCUGGGAGGAAUAACCCAACUAUUAUUUACUUCCUAUACACUCUGGUUCAAGGAUCGGAGCACGGGAUAGGUGAUUGGUGUAGGAUCUGAAUCUCAAGGACUUUAUUGUCUCCCGCCUCCAUCCUUUACCAUAUGUGCUAUCACAGAGUCUCCUAGUUUUCUUCACCAUCGUCUGGGUCAUCCGAGUCUAAAUAAGUUAGAAAAGAUGAUCCCUCAUCUCUCUCAUUUGCAGUUUUUAGAGUGAGUCAUGUCAGCUUGGAAAAUAUGUUCGGGUAUCCUUUCCAGGCAAGAUAAAUAAUCGAGCAGAGUCUCCUUUUGACAUCGUUCAUUCUGAUGUUUGGGGUCCUAGUCGUGUCAGUUCUAUCUUAGGAUAUAGAUAUUUUGUUACUUUCAUUGAUGAUUUUUCAAGAUGUAUUUAGAUAUUCUUAAUGAAGGAUCGUUCAGAGUUGUUUACUAUUUUUCAAAACUUUUGUAAUAAAAUUCAAACUCAGUUUGGGCAUCUUAUUCGCAUUUUGCAGUGAUAAUGCAAAAGAAUAUUUUUCUGCUCCUUUCAAUUCUUUCAUGGCAUCUCAUGGCAUGAUUCAUCAAUCCAGCUGUCUACAUACUCUACAACAAAAUGACAUAGCGAAAAAAAAACAUCAUCAUAUUAUUGAGACAGUUUGUACUCUUUUGUUACAAUCUAAUGCACCCUUAAAGUUUUGGGGUGAUGCUGUCCUCACUGCUGGUUACUUGAUAAAUCGAAUGCCAUCAUCUAUCUUAAAUAACCAUGUACCUCAUUCUCUUUUGUUUCCUAAGGAUCCUCUUUACAUUGUUCUCCUUCGUGUUUUUGGUUCUACCUAUUUUGUGCAUGAUUUUUCUCCAGAUCUUGAUAAACUGUCUGCCCAUGUUAUUAAAUAUAUUUUUCUUGGUUACUCUCAGAUUCAGAAGGGAUAUCAGUGUUAUUAUCCUUCCACACAUCGAUUUUAUAUGUCUACAGAUGUCACCUUCUUUGAGGACACCUUAUUUCAGCUCACCGAUGGAGCUUGAAUUCAUCUCUCAGCUCUUACCGAUUUUCUACUUUGGUCUGCUAGUCUCUGUUUUUCUCGAACCUCCUACUUUGUCUGCUCAGCCAAUACAUUCCUCACCAUGCCUACUAUCACUUAUCAGCGUCCACCACAACCUAAGAUUUUGGAGACUAUUUCCACUCAAGAUUCAGGUGAUUUAUUUUCUGCUCCAGUGUCUCUACCUGCCUUGGGCCUACUCGAGCAUUCCACUGACUGGUCUGUAGCUCUCCGUAAAGGUACAUGCUCUGCUCGUAAUCCUCAUCCUAUUUAUAAUUUUUUUAAGCUAUCAUCGUUUAUCUUCAUCCCAUUAUGCCUUUGUUUCUGUCUUGUCUUCUGUUUCUAUUCCUAAAACCAUCCAAGCACUUUCCCAUCCAGAAUAGCAUCAGGCGAUAAUUGAUGAGAUGGCAGCUUUGGAAUCCAAUAACACAUGGACUCUUGUUCCUUUCCGUCUUGAAAAAUCUACAAUUGGUUGUCGAUGGAUUUUUACUAUUAAAGUGGGCUCUAAUGGACAGGUGGAUCAUUUGAAAGCACGUCUUAUGAUUAAGGGCUAUACUCAAAUUUUUGAUUUUGAUUAUGGAGACACAUUCUCCCCUAUUGCUAAGAUGGCAUCUGUCCAGCUCUUCUUAUCUAUGGCUGUCAUGAACCAUUGGCCUCUAUAUCAACCGAGCAUCAAAAAUGCCUCUCUACAUGGUGCCUUGGAGGAGGAAGUUUAUAUGCAGCAACCACCUAGGUUUGUUGCUCAAAAAGAGACGAGUCUGAUUUGCAACUUACACAAAUCGCUAUAUGGCCUUAAGCAAUCUCUUCGGAUAUGAUUUGGAAGAUUUAGUAAAGUCAUACAACAAUUUGGCAUAGUCUAUAGUGAGGUGAUGAUCAUGACGGUAUCAAAGCCCUAAAGCAGCAUUUGUUUCAACACUUCCAAACUAAAGAUUUGGACCGAUUGCGGUACUUCCUUGGGAUUGAAGUAGCCCAAUCAAAAACAGGCAUCACCAUCUCUCAAAGGAAGUAUGCCCUUGACAUUCUGAAAGAGACCAGGAUGCUAGAUUGUAAACCAAUCGAUAUUCCUAUGGAUCCAAACGUAAAACUUCUACCAGAUCAAGGGAAGCCCUAUUCAGAUCCAGGCAGGUAUCAGAGACUGAUGGAAAAAUUAAAUUAUCUCAUCAUGACCAGAGCAGACAUACCCUUCACUGUUAGUGUUGUAAGUCAGUUUCUUAACUCUCCUUGUGACAGUCAUUGGGAUGCAGUGGUUUGGAUCUUGAGAUAUAUUAAGGGUUCUCCCGGAAGAGGGUUGAUUUAUGAAAAUAGAGGCCACAAAGACAUUGUUGCAUAUACAAAUGCAGACUGGACAGGAUCCCGUAGUGAUAGAAGAUCGAUUUCUGAGUACUGUGUUCUUAUUAGGGGCAAUCUCAUCUCAUGGAAAAGCAAGAAGCAGAAUAUGGUUAUCAGAUCAAGUGCAGAAGCAGAAUAUCGAGCUAUGGCCCUUACUACAUGUGAACUUAUAUGAUUGAGACAACUGCUUCAAGAAUUGAAGUUUUGUAAGAUUGGAACCUGCAAAAGGCUCAUGCAAAAGAAUGGGCUCGAUGGGAGAAAAGAUUGUGUGAAUUUUUGCUUGGAAAUGCUAACUACCUCAGUUCUAUUCGGGAUAUUCUCUCAUGGAGGCCUAAUUUUCAUUCAAUAUGCUUUACACAUAUAUUUCGAGAGGCCAAUUGAGCUGCGGAUUUUCUAGCAUCUAUGGUGAGGCAAGGGUCCUUUGAUAUACAAUCUCAAGAUCCUAUACCCCCUUUCUUAUCUGAUAUACUGUGGGCUGACUUUUAUGGCAUCUUAUUUGAACGAUGAUGUCGCUGAUUUUAUACUUAAUGAGCUAUCAGCUCUUAAAAAUUAAGUACGGUUCCUUUGAUCAGUGGCCAAAUUUUGUUGGCACAAUGAUGUGGUGGAGGCUUUUAAGUUGCUUCAGCCCUGAUUUCAGUUCUUGCAUUUGUCUAUUAUAUUGCACCUGCUGGUUGUGUUUAUCUUCUAGGACCCAGGUUAUCUAUAUAUUCUUCUUCAAGUACUUGUCCUAUGGAGUCAAAACGGUGUUGGUCAAACAGCAGAGACACUACUGGACAUCAAUGCUUCGAAUCUGGCAUCACUGCUUCAACUUUUCCCUAUCUGUUUCUGCUUUUGUCUUAUCCCGGUUCUCUGCUCCAAGUUUUAACUUGUUUUUCUAGGCAAUCUGAUCUACCGUGUUUCAUUAGUGUUUGCAAAGUCAUCCAUCUUUUUCUUCCAAGCCUGGGCACUUUCCCAAAUUAUGCUUCACAAUUCACAGGUUCUGAUGAGAUCUAUGGUACAAGGUCUUAUAAAGGCGGGCUCUUACACUUAAAUACUGGCACAAGAAGUAUGAAUCCUGAUGUGAUCGACACCAAAUGUUUAUCUGCUGGCCUGUCUAAGUUUUUGAAUAAUGUUUUUGACCCGAUGGCUACAGACGGGAAGGGUAAGAAUGAAAUCCACUCCACAUGUUAUUAUGGUUGCCAACUCUUAAUCCUGCAGGUUGUUGCCGAGGAAUCCUUUAAUCUGGACGCUGGUGGGAAGGACUUUAUUGGUCCUUGUGCCCGUUCAAUCAGUCUCCCACAUGAUGUUUUAAAAAUGGUUGAUUCUAAUGGGAAUUUUGUAGCUCUGUCUUCUAUUUUCUGCAACUUCUUACAAGGCUACUGCUCUUUAUUUGUCACGCUGAUCCCAUAUGAUGUUAUACUUGCUGAUGGGAAUGAAUUUAACCACUCAGAGCCUGGAACAUUACAAACCAAAUGGGUGAUAAAUUAUUUUGUCUUUGUCAAUGCAAUAUGGGGCUCUACCAGAGGGAGUAUUUUUCUUUUUGAAUCUUCUUUGGUCUUCUUGCUUGCAAAAACUGUGACACAUACUUUUCCCUACUUAAUGAGUAUUAUGUGGUAAUAAUUUGAAAUCGAAGCUGAUUCUUCUUAACUCUCUGCUAUAUGGAUUUCUCGAAGUCAUGAUAUACAGUCAUAUCAAGGACUCUUUGGUUUUCUGUCCUACUCACUGUUAUAUGUGGCACAUGUUCAGUCUCCCAUUUAUAAUGCAGGAUGGAUAUGAUCAUAUGUUCUUUUUUCAGAUUAUUACAACCAGGGAGUUUCAGCAUGAUAUUUUAUUGUCAUUGGACAUUGAUGCUUGCCUAAUUUCAACGGGUGUGAAUCACAAACAGUUCUUUUCUCAAGAUGGUUGCCACUUGUUAAUCUUGUAUGAUAUUCUAAAGUUGGAAGGUACUGAUGGAAUCCAGGUUUCUGAAGCGGCUUUUACAGUGGAAGUUGCUGGGAAGGAUCUUAUAUUUCCUUGGCCCCAGUCAUUCUCAUUCCCGAAUGAUGUUUCAAAAAUCAUGGUUUCUGAUGGGAAUUAUGGUAACUGGUUCUUCAUUUUAAGUACCAUUUCACAACGUCUUUCCUCCCUUUUAUCAAUUAAUAUCCCAUAUGAUGUUUCACCUACUGAUGGGAAAUGAGUUUAUUCAAGGUUUGUUGAUUGCUUUGCACGUAGAUAGUUUUCAAGGUUGUUUUUGUUUAGUGUCUGCUCUGUCCGAUCUCAAAUAUGUAAGCUUCAUAUUGCUACAAAGUGGGCUGCUUUUCCCUCUCUAUUUGGCAUUUUGCUAUAUUUUGGUCUUCACCUGCGUUGCUGUAAUUACUUGGUUUGUCUUUGUUUUUGGAACAGGGUGUAACUGCUCAUUUUUGUAUCUUCAAAGACUUUGUAGAACCUUUUAAGAUUUAUGUUAAUGAGGCUGCAGCUUCCUUUCUUA